GUGUCAAGUCGUUCGAUGAACCACUUCGGUGGGGAUUAGUGGCGAACGGGUGAGUAACACGUGGGCAAUCUGCCCUUCACUCUGGGACAAGCCCUGGAAACGGGGUCUAAUACCGGAUACUGACCCUUGCAGGCAUCUGCGAGGUUCGAAAGCUCCGGCGGUGAAGGAUGAGCCCGCGGCCUAUCAGCUUGUUGGUGAGGUAAUGGCUCACCAAGGCGACGACGGGUAGCCGGCCUGAGAGGGCGACCGGCCACACUGGGACUGAGACACGGCCCAAACUCCUACGGGAGGCAGCAGUGGGGAAUAUUGCACAAUGGGCGAAAGCCUGAUGCAGCGACGCCGCGUGAGGGAUGACGGCCUUCGGGUUGUAAACCUCUUUCAGCAGGGAAGAAGCGAAAGUGACGGUACCUGCAAAAAAAGCGCCGGCUAACUACGUGCCAGCAGCCGCGGUAAUACGUAGGGCGCAAGCGUUGUCCGGAAUUAUUGGGCGUAAAGAGCUCGUAGGCGGCUUGUCACGUCGGUUGUGAAAGCCCGGGGCUUAACCCCGGGUCUGCAGUCGAUACGGGCAGGCUAGAGUUCGGUAGGGGAGAUCGGAAUUCCUGGUGUAGCGGUGAAAUGCGCAGAUAUCAGGAGGAACACCGGUGGCGAAGGCGGAUCUCUGGGCCGAUACUGACGCUGAGGAGCGAAAGCGUGGGGAGCGAACAGGAUUAGAUACCCUGGUAGUCCACGCCGUAAACGGUGGGCACUAGGUGUGGGCAACAUUCCACGUUGUCCGUGCCGCAGCUAACGCAUUAAGUGCCCCGCCUGGGGAGUACGGCCGCAAGGCUAAAACUCAAAGGAAUUGACGGGGGCCCGCACAAGCGGCGGAGCAUGUGGCUUAAUUCGACGCAACGCGAAGAACCUUACCAAGGCUUGACAUACACCGGAAAGCAUCAGAGAUGGUGCCCCCCUUGUGGUCGGUGUACAGGUGGUGCAUGGCUGUCGUCAGCUCGUGUCGUGAGAUGUUGGGUUAAGUCCCGCAACGAGCGCAACCCUUGUCCCGUGUUGCCAGCAAGCCCUUCGGGGUGUUGGGGACUCACGGGAGACCGCCGGGGUCAACUCGGAGGAAGGUGGGGACGACGUCAAGUCAUCAUGCCCCUUAUGUCUUGGGCUGCACACGUGCUACAAUGGCCGGUACAAUGAGCUGCGAUACCGCAAGGUGGAGCGAAUCUCAAAAAGCCGGUCUCAGUUCGGAUUGGGGUCUGCAACUCGACCCCAUGAAGUCGGAGUCGCUAGUAAUCGCAGAUCAGCAUUGCUGCGGUGAAUACGUUCCCGGGCCUUGUACACACCGCCCGUCACGUCACGAAAGUCGGUAACACCCGAAGCCGGUGGCCCAACCCCUUGUGGGAGGGAGCUGUCG
rnacentral:rRNA from 1 species